GGCGGUUCGCCGCCGACGACGUCGCGAGAAGUUCACUGAACCUUAUCAUUUAGAGGAAGGAGAAGUCGUAACAAGGUUUCCGUAGGUGAACCUGCGGAAGGAUCAUUGU
rnacentral:rRNA from 1 species